GUCGACAACAAAAUGGAAAUAUGAAUUAACUCGCAAUUCAAAAUAUUCACAAUCUAAAUUUACCACAAAAUUAUAGUUGAGAAGAUUAUCUGCAGAAUGGACAAGAAUUUAUAUGUGUGUUAAUGGUUAAAUUAGAAGGAUAUAAUUCGAAAUGGUUAAUUUCUUGCUACAGGCAGUGAAUAGCGAUGCUUCAUUUUGUCUGUAAAUGUUAAAAGAGAACAAAUGUGCAAAAAUCUUCCAAAUAGAACACGGAAUCGCAGCAGAGGCUCACUUGCGAAAAAGCAAUAAUAUCAAUCCUGGAAAUAGUGCAUGGAAAAGGGCUCAAAGCAUAGAAUAUAUAUAAACACUAAGAGAGAGAGAAUGGAGGAAAAAUUAAUAGUGGAGCAGCACGAGAGAGAGAGAGCAUACUUUAGUGGUUGACCUCGUCCUUUAAUGGGCUUAACAGACAAAAGUUGUGAAAAACCACUUUUUUUUUUUUUUUU
rnacentral:misc_RNA from 1 species